rnacentral:lncRNA from 1 species
AUGGCACAAGCUUCUUUGCUCUUUGCGUUGAGAAUAGCGUCAGGCUAAAUAAGCCUUUCAAGAAUGUGUCCUCUGAUUCUGAAACUUUUGUUGUACCGAAUUUGCCUCACGAAAUUAAACUGACCAGAACCCAGGUGUCUCCGUUCGAGCGAUCUGGGGAAGAGACAACUAUGGCCCGGAUGAUAAAAACAGUCUGGGAAUCAGAUUCAAGGAGCUAUGGAGUUGUUUUCAACAGUUUCUAUGAGCUUGAAACAUGAGCAAUCUGGGGAAGAGACAACUAUGGCCCGGAUGAUAAAAACAGUCUGGGAAUCAGAUUCAAGGAGCUAUGGAGUUGUUUUCAACAGUUUCUAUGAGCUUGAAACAGAUUAUGUGGAGCAUUAUA